CUCGUAGCUUGCUAUGAGAACAAUUAGUGGCAGACGGGUGAGUAAUGCAUAGGAAUCUACCUAGUAGUAUAGGAUAGCCACUAGAAGUGGUGGGUAAUACUGUAUAAUCCCUGCGGGGGAAAGAUUUAUCGCUACAUGAUGAGCCUAUGUUAGAUUAGCUAGUUGGGGGGGUAAUGGCCUACCAAGGCAGUGAUCUAUAGCUGGUCUGAGAGGAUGAUCAGCCACACUGGAACUGAGACACGGUCCAGACUCCUACGGGAGGCAGCAGUGGGGAAUAUUGGACAAUGGGCGCAAGCCUGAUCCAGCUAUGCCGCGUGAGUGAGGAAGGCCUUAGGGUUGUAAAACUCUUUCAGUGGGGAAGAUAAUGACGGUACCCACAGAAGAAGUCCCGGCAAACUCCGUGCCAGCAGCCGCGGUAAUACGGAGGGGGCAAGCGUUGUUCGGAAUUAUUGGGCGUAAAGGGCAUGUAGGUGGUUUGGUAAGUUAAAGGUGAAAUGCCAGGGCUUAACCCUGGAGCUGCUUUUAAUACUGCCAGACUGGAGUCCGGGAGA
rnacentral:rRNA from 1 species